rnacentral:lncRNA from 13 species
UUUGAUACAUUGAAUGUUGAUAUUGUGUUAUAUUUUUACCUCCUGUUUCAGGAAGUGAUGUCUAUAUAUAGGACCUUCCACCCACACCUCGGACCGUUAGGCCUGAUGAAGACCCAAGGGUCAAAGUUGUUAUUAUAAUAUCACCAGGGACCAUGAGCAGCAGUGUACAGCAUUUUCCUUUUUAUUUUCUAUAUUUUAUUUCAGCUCAUGAAACAUGGGACUAACACUUUACAUGUUGCGUUUAUAUAUUUGUUCAGUGUUUGUGAUCGAUAUCUACCUAUAUAACUAUUUAUGUCUAUUGCUUCAUAGGCUACAGGGAUUCACCUUAGGCACUGGAUCCUGAAGAGUAGGAGCGGCAGCUUGUAUGCGGAAGGUUCCCGUGUGUAAGUAGAAUUUAUUGUUUCUUGGAAUCCUAUUCUAAAGUUGUACCAUAGGUUCAAUAGCACGUCAUUCUUUCGGUAAACGCAAACGUUGAUUCACUUAUCGCUAUGAUUGUCCACCAAGGGACAACAAAAUGCUCUGGCAUAGCAACAUCAUCGCAGAGCGAAUGUCAAAAACAUCCUGAAGACCACAACUGGCUGCACUUACAUCCUGGUGGGGAAAAUGGCGCCGGAUCUCAGCGGAACUCAACUCCCAACAUGGCUGUUGAAGAAGUUUCUCUUUGGGUUCUCAAAGAAUUGGAAGGAAUACCUUGAGUGCUUUUUGUCUUGAGCCGAAAGGUUCAGAAGCUGACAACAGUAAAGGUCCAGAGGGGAGUAAGGACCUGGUAACGCCUCAGAACCAUAACCACCUCUCCACCAAAAUGCAGUCUUCCACAUCCCUGAAGCUAAAGGCCACUAAGAGAUGUACGUCCAAAAGUUGGGUCCACAUGCUCACUGUAUGUUCACUCAUGUCUCUUGUUUUAAUUAGAAUUAUAUGUUAAUU